rnacentral:rRNA from 1 species
UACGGGGGGGGCAAGCGUUGUUCGGAAUUACUGGGCGUAAAGGGCUCGUAGGCGGCCAACUAAGUCGGAUGUGAAAUCCCCAGGCUCAACCUGGGAACUGCAUCCGAUACUGGAUGGCUUGAAUCCGGGAGAGGGAUGCAGAAUUCCAGGUGUAGCGGUGAAAUGCGUAGAUAUCAGGAGGAACACCGGUGGCGAAGGCGGUUCUCUGGGCCUUACCUGACGCUGAGGAGCGAAAGCGUGGGGAGCAAACAGG